rnacentral:rRNA from 1 species
AGAGUUUGAUCCUGGCUCAGGACGAACGCUGGCGGCGUGCCUAAUACAUUCAAGUCGAGCGGACGAAUCGAAAGCUUGCUUUUGAUUCGUUAGCGGCGGACGGGUGAGUAACACGUGGGCAACCUGCCCUGUAGACGGGGAUAACACCGAGAAAUCGGUGCUAAUACCGGAUAACACGAAAUGUCGCAUGACGUUUCAUUGAAAGACGGCGCAAGCUGUCGCUACAGGAUGGGCCCGCGUCGCAUUAGCUAGUUGGUGAGGUAACGGCUCACCAAGGCGACGAUGCGUAGCCGACCUGAGAGGGUGAUCGGCCACACUGGGACUGAGACACGGCCCAGACUCCUACGGAAGGCAGCAGUAGGGAAUCUUCCGCAAUGGACGAAAGUCUGACGGAGCAACGCCGCGUGAGCGAAGAAGGCCUUCGGGUCGUAAAGCUCUGUUGUUAGGGAAGAACAAGUAACGCAGUAACUGGCGUUACCGUGACGGUACCUAACGAGAAAGCCACGGCUAACUACGUGCCAGCAGCCGCGGUAAUACGUAGGUGGCAAGCGUUGUCCGGAAUUAUUGGGCGUAAAGCGCGCGCAGGCGGUUCCUUAAGUCUGAUGUGAAAGCCCACGGCUCAACCGUGGAGGGUCAUUGGAAACUGGGGGACUUGAGUGCAGAAGAGGAGAGCGGAAUUCCACGUGUAGCGGUGAAAUGCGUAGAGAUGUGGAGGAACACCAGUGGCGAAGGCGGCUCUCUGGUCUGUAACUGACGCUGAGGCGCGAAAGCGUGGGGAGCAAACAGGAUUAGAUACCCUG